UGGUUUCUCCUGAGGGGCGUUUCUAUAGAACUGAAGACUUCAGACAGCACUGUAUCCCAGCAUGCAUCUCUGCUCACUCAGACCACACCCCAUGAGUAGGAUGCAACACUAGUGAUGGCGAUGUAGAGUUUUAUAAGUAACGUGGGAGCAGACUAAGGGGAUUAGAACACAAUGGAAUGUGAAGUCUGUAAAUCUUUAAACCAUGAAGAUGGUUGGAUAGUUCAGGAAUUGGGCUUUUUAAUAUGGGCAGUCUUUUCACUCGGAUGCUCACUGGAGCUGUACAUGUGUUGGCUGGCUGGCAUGAUUUGCUGUUGGUGAUGAGGCGGUCAGGGUGACGUUGCAGGGCUAUGGUUGGCUCUCGGUGAGCUCAACGUUUAGAUUUGCUCCGUAUGGUUUGUACCCUGAAUAAUCUAGAUAAUUGUAAAAUGUAGACACGGUUUUGUAUUGAAUGAUUCCAGGAUUUUAGGUUUAAAGUUGUUGCACAUGGUUAUUUGCUUCUUCGUAUGGUUUUGAGUGAUAUAACUUGUACACACUGGGUGCAUAGUAGUAGUAAUGACCAACAGCAACAAACAGAUCUCCUCAAGGUAAGUCUGUUGGCUGUAUUUUUAAUGAAGACCAUCGCUGGACUUCAGGAUCUUCCUCCGUUCAGCUCAAGGUGAGGCGCUGGUUAUGUUUUUUCUUUGGUUGGUUCCGGCCGGAAUGUUCGGAUUCCAGUCGGACGGUUUGUGCUUCCCGCCGUGGAAGGUUCUGAGUGCGGUCACUUGAUUUAGUCCCAAUGGUUAGCAUAGAACGUUGUAGUCUUGACAACCAUAAGAAACCACCUGGCAGUUAGUUGGACGGGAGUCCCCUAAGGGAAUCUGGCGGAACGUUCUCGCUUGUAUUUGCGUAACCUCGUGCCGUUGCCAACGGAAACUAUUUCAGUCGGUUUCCAUGGGGAAUUGUUGCCCCUAUUUUAAACAACUUAAGUUUGAUAUUAAAUACAUACUGACACGUACGUCGUACAAUAUGUUGAUAAUUUCCGAUGGUUGCGCCGUACUUUUACGUUGACGGGACUCGCACUGCGUACAGAACGGCGUUCUACUUGGGGCCCCAUUUUUGACAUCAGUGAAGGCUGAAAAUCAUUUCAAGGUGGAAGACAUUUUGACAUUUCUUCAAGGAACCCAGCACCUGAAUAUGGCUGAGUAAAUUUGAUUUAAUAUCGAUACUGCUUAGUGUUCUUUGUUACUUCAGCUUUUGUACGUUCUAAAUAUCUGCUGUCAUUAAUUGCCACAGAAGUUAAACCCUACCCAAUAGAAUGACGUUAAACAACAACUUUGGUGCAGAGUUAGCAACUGGAUAAUAUCAAAGCUAAAAUAAUGGCCGUCAUUCCCACAUGUUACAGUAGAAGAUACUCUAGUGCUGUACAAGGUUAAAAAGGUAACAUGUAGUUUGUCCCAAGGUGUCUGCCUCCUCACCCAGAGCAAGAGCUCCACCUCCUCACCCAGAGCCAGACCUCCACCUCCUGUCAGAAGUCCCCCAGAACAGAUGCUGAUAUAAACCUGCUGUAGCUGAAAGGCGUGGCCGUGAGGCUGGGGACCGGAGGCUUGUGGUGCCAGGGUGGACCGGAGACUGAGGCUGGAGACCAGCGGCCUGCAGCACCGGACCAGAGGACCAGGAAUCCAUGGCUGAAGGAGCUGAUGGAGGUGCCGUGCUGAAGGAGCUGAUGGAGUAGCCGUGCUGAAGUAGCUGAUGGAGGAGUCGUGCUGAAUGCCCUGCCUUGUAGAGCAGCUGCUGGAGGCCCUGCCUGGUGAAGGACGUCUGUCGUGGGACCAGGACUCUGUCUGAGGAGAGCUGCUGGAGGAGCUGAGACGCUGGAGGACGACUAGGAAUCGACCAACAAGGAUACCUCAACGUGUUUCUGGAGCGGAGGCGAGCUGGUAGGGGAGCCGUGAAUCUGGAGGAUGACCAUCACUCUACCAAUAAGGAUUACUUUAGGGCCAGACUCGCGCUGUUUGUUCCGGACCAGGACUCUGGCUGAGGAGAGCUGAUGGAGGAGCCAAGACUCUGGAGGACGACAUCACUCCACCAACCAGGAUCCUUCACCAGGAAUCUGGAGGACUGAUGGAGAAGCCGAACAUCUGGAAGGCAAAUCCUGAGGACCACCAGCACUACCAUCAAGGAUUCCUCAUAAGUUUGCAUUAUCUGGACAUGGUGGACUAGUCGCACCUGAGCUGAACCUCACCUGAUCCUGUUUGGUCGUAGGUAGACACACCUGAGCUAAACCCGCCCUGAUCCUGACAUCCUGCUGGUCCCGUCUCCUCAGUUCAUCUGAGCCUCGUCCUCCAGAAGACCUGCUGAGCUCAGCAGUCUGAGGCUGAUGGAUCAAUGACCUCCAGUGGGAGUGAUCUUCUUGACCCCACAUGUAACCGUGUGCUUCCACACCCCUUUCCCUCACGUCUGUCACUUACCUCACUACUUCACUACUCACUACUGCUUCCUCUUUUCUUCCUUCUCUGUGGUUCAAACCGUUACACGGAAGGCCCGUCUUCCUGCCCUCAGAGGGUUUAGCGUUAGGGUUGAGAGUCAGGGUUUAGAGUCAGGGACAGAGCUGGUCAGGGAGGACUGCUUUUACACAAACCUCUUCACUUGCUUUCGGAAUGGUGGUGACAUUUUGAAAAGAUUCAUUUGGGAAAAUGUUUUCCUCUGCUUUCCUUUAAAAAAUUGUAUCAAACUUCUGUAAAGUGUUUUUGUUUAUAUAUUCAAAUCCCACAUUGACUUCUACAUGUUUGGUGCGGUUUGGUUAAUGUCAAGCUAAACUCCUGCAAUACAUUUAAUAUACAUGAUUGUUAUUAAGCAAUGUUCACAUAAUCCAUUUUGUAAAAAUAUGAAACCUACAUUACUACUAAAUUCAAGCCAAGGAACAAGUAUCUCGCUGUAUUACAUCCUGGAAUAAACCAUAUA